AGCGGCGGAUGGGUGAGUAACACGUGGGGAACCUGCCCCUAAGUCUGGGAUACCAUUUGGAAACAGGUGCUAAUACCGGAUAAUAAAGCAGAUCGCAUGAUCAGCUUUUGAAAGGCGGCGUAAGCUGUCGCUAAGGGAUGGCCCCGCGGUGCAUUAGCUAGUUGGUAAGGUAACGGCUUACCAAGGCGACGAUGCAUAGCCGAGUUGAGAGACUGAUCGGCCACGUUGGGACUGAGACACGGCCCAAACUCCUACGGGAGGCAGCAGUAGGGAAUCUUCCACAAUGGACGCAAGUCUGAUGGAGCAACGCCGCGUGAGUGAAGAAGGUUUUCGGAUCGUAAAGCUCUGUUGUUGGUGAAGAAGGAUAGAGGUAGUAACUGGCCUUUAUUUGACGGUAAUCAACCAGAAAGUCACGGCUAACUACGUGCCAGCAGCCGCGGUAAUACGUAGGUGGCAAGCGUUGUCCGGAUUUAUUGGGCGUAAAGCGAGCGCAGGCGGAAAAAUAAGUCUAAUGUGAAAGCCCUCGGCUUAACCGAGGAACUGCAUCGGAAACUGUUUUUCUUGAGUGCAGAAGAGGAGAGUGGAACUCCAUGUGUAGCGGUGGAAUGCGUAGAUAUAUGGAAGAACACCAGUGGCGAAGGCGGCUCUCUGGUCUGCAACUGACGCUGAGGCUCGAAAGCAUGGGUAGCGAACAGGAUUAGGUACCCUGGUAGUCCAUGCCGUAAACGAUGAGUGCUAAGUGU
rnacentral:rRNA from 1 species